GAGUUUGAUCCUGGCUCAGAUUGAACGCUGGCGGCAUGCCUAACACAUGCAAGUCGAACGGUAACGCGGGGGCAACCCUGGCGACGAGUGGCGGACGGGUGAGUAAUACGUAGGAAUCUGCCCAUUUGUGGGGGAUAACCCGGCGAAAGCCGGGCUAAUACCGCAUACGCUCUACGGAGGAAAGCAGGGGAUCGUAAGACCUUGCGCUAAUGGAUGAGCCUACGUCGGAUUAGCUAGUUGGUAGGGUAACGGCCUACCAAGGCGACGAUCCGUAGCUGGUCUGAGAGGACGAUCAGCCACACUGGGACUGAGACACGGCCCAGACUCCUACGGGAGGCAGCAGUGGGGAAUAUUGGACAAUGGGGGCAACCCUGAUCCAGCAAUGCCGCGUGUGUGAAGAAGGCCUGCGGGUUGUAAAGCACUUUCAGAGGGAAGAAAAAUACGGAGCUAACACCUCCGAGCUUGACGUUACCCUUAGAAGGAGCACCGGCUAACUCCGUGCCAGCCGCCGCCGUAAC
rnacentral:rRNA from 1 species